ensembl:lncRNA
GAGGGACUGCUGAGAAUAUUUGCUCAGUUCAGACAAAUGAUAAGUGUGUCGGCCACUCUAAUGAAAUGAGUACAUUUUUGCUCUAAAUGUCAUGGAUGUUUAUUAUCAGAUUAAACUACAGCAGACCUAAUUUUAGCUCUUCCAAUUCAAGUGGAGCAAUGAAGAUUAAAUGUUAGGCAUAAUUAAAGAUGCAGAUGUAGUUUUAUUGAAUUAUAAACCUCAUUAAGUGCAACGUCCCAGGAAAGCCCCUGAGACCAGCUACAAAGAACUCCUAGUUGCAACACUGUGGUUACUAAAAUAUUGUAAAGUAAAUCUCACUCCAAAAAUAUUAUGACUUGGAUGGAAGGAGUUUUUAAAAGCAUGGUUAGAGUUGGUUUCAUGGGUAAUUUCCUUGCAGAUGGUCGGGAAGGAAACACUUUUCUUCAGCAUCUCCACAGAAGGCCUCCUUGGGGCUUGGUGCUCCCGUCUCAGCCUCCAAAGGUGGGCUCCAGUCUCCUGGGUCAGUUAGAAGGGCAACUUCAAGGACCAUCAGAUUUCACUCAAGAGUUGGUGGUGGAUUUGUCUGUCUCCUUGUUUGGAAUGUGAGAGAAGUUUAAUAUCUUGACAGCAUGGUCUGUCACUUAACAGCUGUAUGAACUUGGGUAAGUUAGGUAACCUCUCUGGCCUCAGUUUCCUCAUCUGUCAAAUGGGAUAAUACAUAAUGGUAUUGACCCCAUAGUUUUUUUCUGAAGAUUGAACGAGUUGAUCUUUGUACAGCACCGGGCACAUCGUGAAGACUCAGUAAAUGUGAGCGGCUACCAUCACCACCACCAC